rnacentral:rRNA from 1 species
AGUUUGAUCCUGGCUCAGGAUGAACGCUAGCUACAGGCUUAACACAUGCAAGUCGAGGGGCAGCAUGGUCUUAGCUUGCUAAGGCCGAUGGCGACCGGCGCACGGGUGAGUAACACGUAUCCAACCUGCCGUCUACUCUUGGACAGCCUUCUGAAAGGAAGAUUAAUACAAGAUGGCAUCAUGAGUCCGCAUGUUCACAUGAUUAAAGGUAUUCCGGUAGACGAUGGGGAUGCGUUCCAUUAGAUAGUAGGCGGGGUAACGGCCCACCUAGUCUUCGAUGGAUAGGGGUUCUGAGAGGAAGGUCCCCCACAUUGGAACUGAGACACGGUCCAAACUCCUACGGGAGGCAGCAGUGAGGAAUAUUGGUCAAUGGGCGAGAGCCUGAACCAGCCAAGUAGCGUGAAGGAUGACUGCCCUAUGGGUUGUAAACUUCUUUUAUAAGGGAAUAAAGUUCGGGUAUGCAUACCCGUUUUGCAUGUACUUUAUGAAUAAGGAUCGGCUAACUCCGUGCCAGCAGCCGCGGUAAUACGGAGGAUCCGAGCGUUAUCCGGAUUUAUUGGGUUUAAAGGGAGCGUAGAUGGAUGUUUAAGUCAGUUGUGAAAGUUUGCGGCUCAACCGUAAAAUUGCAGUUGAUACUGGAUAUCUUGAGUGCAGUUGAGGCAGGCGGAAUUCGUGGUGUAGCGGUGAAAUGCUUAGAUAUCACGAAGAACUCCGAUUGCGAAGGCAGCCUGCUAAGCUGCAACUGACAUUGAGGCUCGAAAGUGUGGGUAUCAAACAGGAUUAGAUACCCUGGUAGUCCACACGGUAAACGAUGAAUACUCGCUGUUUGCGAUAUACUGCAAGCGGCCAAGCGAAAGCGUUAAGUAUUCCACCUGGGGAGUACGCCGGCAACGGUGAAACUCAAAGGAAUUGACGGGGGCCCGCACAAGCGGAGGAACAUGUGGUUUAAUUCGAUGAUACGCGAGGAACCUUACCCGGGCUUAAAUUGCAGAUGAAUUACGGUGAAAGCCGUAAGCCGCAAGGCAUCUGUGAAGGUGCUGCAUGGUUGUCGUCAGCUCGUGCCGUGAGGUGUCGGCUUAAGUGCCAUAACGAGCGCAACCCUUGUUGUCAGUUACUAACAGGUUCCGCUGAGGACUCUGACAAGACUGCCAUCGUAAGAUGUGAGGAAGGUGGGGAUGACGUCAAAUCAGCACGGCCCUUACGUCCGGGGCUACACACGUGUUACAAUGGGGGGUACAGAGGGCCGCUACCACGCGAGUGGAUGCCAAUCCCAAAAACCUCUCUCAGUUCGGACUGGAGUCUGCAACCCGACUCCACGAAGCUGGAUUCGCUAGUAAUCGCGCAUCAGCCACGGCGCGGUGAAUACGUUCCCGGGCCUUGCACACACCGCCCGUC